AACGAACGCUGGCGGCAGGCCUAACACAUGCAAGUCGAACGCUGUAGCAAUACAGAGUGGCAGACGGGUGAGUAACGCGUGGGAACAUGCCCUUCGGUUCGGAAUAACUCAGGGAAACUUGAGCUAAUAACGGAUACGCCCUUAAGGGGAAAGAUUUAUUGCCGAAGGAUUGGCCCGCGUCCGAUUAGCUAGUUGGUGAGGUAAUGGCUCACCAAGGCGACGAUCGGUAGCUGGUCUGAGAGGAUGAUCAGCCACACUGGGACUGAGACACGGCCCAGACUCCUACGGGAGGCAGCAGUGGGGAAUAUUGGACAAUGGGCGCAAGCCUGAUCCAGCCAUGCCGCGUGAGUGAUGAAGGCCCUAGGGUUGUAAAGCUCUUUCGCCAGGGACGAUAAUGACGGUACCUGGAUAAGAAGCCCCGGCUAACUUCGUGCCAGCAGCCGCGGUAACAC
rnacentral:rRNA from 1 species